rnacentral:ncRNA from 2 species
CUUUGGCUUUAGGGGUAUUCUGAAAAGAAUUGAGAGAGUCCCUUUGAACCUGACGCGGUUAGUACCGUCGUAGGGAAAAGCGCAGGAACACCG